AGUCCUGUAGUGUAGUGGCCUAUCAUCCGAGGUUCUGAGCCUUGUGACCCCAGUUCGAAUCUGGGCAGGACUA
rnacentral:tRNA from 1 species